rnacentral:lncRNA from 1 species
UCCGUUCCGACCAGAAGGAAAAAUACACCCUUCCCUGCAUUUCUAGUCUGCCUGCAGGUCUGGUCCACAUGGGGUGUCUGAGACAUCCCUCUCCCGCCCCCACCGCCCCCCCCCCAGGCAAACGAUGGGGAUUCCAGGCUCCAGUGCAGAUCUUUCAUUAACAAGAAGGGAAGUCUGCUCAAGGUCUGUAUUUUCUACAAUCAAAACGCAGUUCUUUUAUUAGGGAAAAAGAAAGCUGGAGUUGGUAUCUGCAAUCUCCUUCUGCCUUCCUACCCGCUCCUCACGUUAUGUCAGUUCUCC